CCUACGGGUGGCAGCAGUGGGGAAUAUUGCACAAUGGGGGAAACCCUGAUGCAGCAACGCCGCGUGAAGGAAGACGGUUUUCGGAUUGUAAACUUCUAUCAAUAGGGAAGAAAGAAAUGAUGGUACCUAAAUAAGAAGCCCCGGCUAACUACGUGCCAGCAGCCGCGGUAAUACGGAGGAUGCGAGCGUUAUCCGGAUUUAUUGGGUUUAAAGGGUGCGCAGGCGGAAGAUCAAGUCAGCGGUAAAAUUGAGAGGCUCAACCUCUUCGAGCCGUUGAAACUGGUUUUCUUGAGUGAGCGAGAAGUAUGCGGAAUUCGUGGUGUAGCGGUGAAAUGCUUAGAUAUCACGAAGAACUCCGAUUGCGAAGGCAGCCUACUAAACUGCCACUGACAUUGAUGCUCGAAAGUGUGGGUAUCAAACAGGAUUAGAUACCCCAGUAGUC
rnacentral:rRNA from 1 species